rnacentral:rRNA from 1 species
CCUACGGGUGACAGCAGUGGGGAAUAUUGCUCAAUGGCGGAAACCCUGAUGCAGCGACGCCGCGUGAGUGAAGAAGUAAUUCGUUAUGUUAAGCUCUAUCAGCAGGGAAGAAACAGACGGUACCUGAGUAAGUAUCCCCGUCUAACUACGUGCCAGCAGCCGCGGUAAUACGUAGGGGGCCAGCGUUAUCCGGAUUUACUGGGUGUAAAGGGAGCGUAGACGGCGAAGAAAGUCUGAAGUGAAAGCCCGAGGCUUAACCGCGGAAUUGCUGUGGAAACUUUUUGGCUGGAGUAUCGGAGAGGUAAGCGGAAUGCCUAGUGUAGCGGUGAAAUGCGUAGAUAUUAGGAGGAACACCAGUGGCGAAGGCGGCUUACUGGGCGGUAACUGACGCUGAGGCACGAAAGCGUGGGGAGCAAACAGGAUUAGAUACCCCAGUAGUC